rnacentral:rRNA from 1 species
GACGGCUCAUUAACACGUGGUUAACAUACCCUCAGGUGGGGGAUAACCUUGGGAAACUGAGGAUAAUACCCCAUAGAAAAAGCAGUCUGGAACGAUUCUUUUUCGAAAGCAUAUGCGCCUGAGGAUUGGACUGCGCUCGAUUAGGUAGUUGGUGGGGUAAUGGCCCACCAAGCCUACGAUCGGUACGGGCCUUGAGAGAGGAAGCCCGGAGAUGGGGACUGAGACACGGCCCCAGGCCCUACGGGGCGCAGCAGGCGCGAAACCUCCGCAAUGCACGAAAGUGCGACGGGGGGGUCCCAAGUGCUCAUGCACAGCAUGGGCUUUUAUCAAGUGUAAACAGCUUGAGGAAUAAGGGCUGGGCAAGUUCGGUGCCAGCAGCCGCGGUAACACCGACGGCCCGAGUGGUGGCCACUUUUAUUGGGCCUAAAGCGUCCGUAGCCGGUCCAGUAAGUCCUUGUUUAAAUCCUGCGGCUUAACCGCAGGACUGGCAGGGAUACUGCUGGACUUGGGACCGGGAGAGGACAAGGGUACUUCAGGGGUAGCGGUGAAAUGUGUUGAUCCUUGAAGGACCACCUAUGGCGAAGGCACUUGUCUGGAACG